rnacentral:tRNA from 25 species
GCCUCUGUAGCUCAGUUGGUAGAGCAGAGGACUGAAAAUCCUCGUGUCGUUGGUUCGAUUCCGACCGGAGGCACCA